rnacentral:rRNA from 1 species
GUAGGUGGCAAGCGUUGUCCGGAAUUAUUGGGCGUAAAGCGCGCGCAGGGCGGUCCUUUAAGUCUGAUGUGAAAGCCCACGGCUCAACCGUGGAGGGUCAUUGGAAACUGGGGGACUUGAGUACAGAAGAGGAAAGCGGAAUUCCAAGUGUAGCGGUGAAAUGCGUAGAGAUUUGGGGGAACACCAGUGGCGAAGGCGGCUUUCUGGUCUGUAACUGACGCUGAGGCGCGAAAGCGUGGGGAGCAAACAGGAUUAGAUACCCUGGUAGUCCACGCCGUAAACGAUGAGUGCUAAGUGUUAGGGGGUUUCCGCCCCUUAGUGCUGCAGCUAACGCAUUAAGCACUCCGCCUGGGGAGUACGGCCGCAAAGGCUG